UAAUUUUAAAUACCGCACUCCAGUCCGUGCAGUCCAGCAGAGUGGACGUGUGUCUAUUUAGAGGCACGUGGUAGUCACCAAGAUUGGGAAAUUCUCCCUACUUUGUUCAUUUCCGAAUGUUUGUCACCAUUUUCAAGGGGAUGACGGUUUAUACCAGCUGAAUUGUGACUACAAAGUCGGAGACGAGUACGGAGCGCCAGACCCGCCAUUUUCCAUCCAUAUCGGGGACACGUGGCGUCGAUGUACGUGUAUGGUGUAUGGUGACCGGGAGCGGUCUACGCUGGAGACGUUGGUAUAUGUGUGUUGUGUUGUGGUGUCCUAACGUACCGGAGCAACGGUUGUGUCAUCUGUCCGUGUGUCUGUGUGUCCGUGUGUUGGUCUAUGUGAUGUCUGGGGUUUGGGUGAAAAGUCACCGGAAAUAUACCGAGGAACCAGGAAAGGAAAUGUGACGAAAUUUAUUGAAAUUUCACUUUCAUUGUUUUGAAUAUUUGGUUCUCGUAUAAUUGUAGUAAUAUUUUUGUGAAAUUGAUUUGAAAGUUGAUAAACGAAUUUAGAGAAAUUAUUUGAAAAUCUAAAUAUAUGUGAAUCAAUUUAAGUGUUUAAAUUUUGGAAAGAAUAUUUUGUUUUGAAGUCAAUUUAAAGAUUUGUUGUUGAAAUUAGAGUCGACUCUCUCUUUUAGAAUCUGGUUUAAUAUUUCUUUCAUUUAUUUUUUUUCUUGUAUGUAUUUUUUUUCUUAUUAAAUAUUUGUUUGUUUA